GGCGCGGGAGGGAGCGAAGCAGCUCGGGCAGCGAGCGAGAUGCAGCACCGAGGCUUCUUCCUCCUCGCCCUCUUCGCCCUGCUGGCGCUCACCUCCGCGGUGGCCAAAAAGAAAGAUAAGGUGAAGAAGGGCGGCCCGGGGAGCGAGUGCGCGGAGUGGACCUGGGGGCCCUGCACCCCCAGCAGCAAGGACUGCGGCGUGGGGUUCCGCGAGGGCACUUGGGGGACCCAGACUCAGCGCAGCCGUGCAGGGUGCCCUGCAACUAGAAAAAGGAGUUUGGAGCCGACUGCAAGUACAAGUUUGAGAGCUGGGGGGCGUGUGACGGGGGCACAGGCACCAAAGUCCGCCAAGGCACCCUGAAGAAGGCACGCUACAAUGCCCAGUGCCAGGAGACCAUCCGCGUGACCUAGCCCUGCACCCCCAAGACCAAAGCCAAGAAAGGGAAGGGAAAGGACUAGAAGCCAGGCCUGGAUGCCAAGGAGCCCCUGGCUUUCCCUGG